GCCGAAGUGGUGGAAUUGGUAGACGCGCUGCGUUCAGGGCGCAGUGGGCGCAAGCCCGUGGGGGUUCAAAUCCCUCCUCCGGCACCA
rnacentral:tRNA from 1 species